rnacentral:lncRNA from 1 species
AUCUAGGCUCACUGCAGCCUCCACCUCCUGGGUUCAAGUGAUCCUCCUGCCUCAGCCUCCCGAGUGCUGGAAUUACAGCUUUGCAGAGGCAAGCGUCUAUGAUUUAAAUGCUAGCUUUGCCGCUUACUGGCUGAAAGACUUUAAAUGACAAUAACAAAAAAUGAAGAGGAUGAUGAUGAUGAUACAAGAUACCAUUGCCCGUGUGUACCAGACAUCAUGCUAAAGUCUUCGUCUGUCACCCAGGCUGAAGUGCAAUAGCACGAUCUCGGCUCACUGCAACCUCUGCCUCCCUGGUUCAAGUGAUUCUCCUGCCUCAGCUUCCUGAGUAGCUGGAAUUACAGGCGCAUGCCACCAUGCCCAGCUAAUUUUUGUGUUUUUAGUAGAGACGGGGUUUCGCCGUGUUGGCCAGGCUGGUCUCAAACUCCUGACCUCAAGUGAUCCUCCAGCCUCGGCCUCUCAAAGUGCUGGGAUUACAGGCAUGAGCCACUGCACCCAGCUGGACUGUUCUUCUUUAUUCUUCUUUUGGUCCUCUUUCAGUUCUCUCCCUCUCUGUCUCUGUCUCUCUCUCUCCGUGUGUGUGUGUGUGUGUGUGUGUGUGUGUGUGUGUGUGUGUGUAGGCAAAAAGCUUAGAUUAGA